GCAGCAGACCGGUCUGUCGCUGGUAUUUCAUACAAGAGGAAAGUCCGGGCAACACAGAGCAUCCUACUUCCUAACAGAAAGCUGUCCGCGAGGGUAGAGUAAUGCAGAAGAAAAUAACCGCCCCUGCCGGGGUAAGGGUGAGAAGGCGGGGUAAGAGCCCACCAGCCGGAUAGCGAUAUCCGGGCUGUGCAUCUUAGGAGUUGUAAGGUCAUGUAAACCGGCAUUAACGAGGGUUGCUCGCCCCACGUCGGAGGGUGGACCGCUAGAGUCUGUCGGUGACGGCAGAUGUAGAUAAAUGACAGACACCCUGCUUGUCAGGGAACAGAACCCGGCUUACAGGUUUGCUGCCUUC
rnacentral:RNase_P_RNA from 2 species